GUAAGUCUUAAAGGAGAAAAAAUGAUUAGAAAGGUAUUCAAAUUUUUUGCUGUAAGUCCAGUUUAAUGGCUGUGUUGAAAUUAUAUAAAGACAAUAUCUAGUUUGAGGUUUCUUGUUUGUGGAUGUGGGUGUCUGAAUCUAACAAAGUUGUGAUUCCUUUCAUUGUGAAAUAAGGAAGUCAGUAUGGGUUUUCCUCAAAAUCUGGCCACUUCCUGAUCGAAUUGGACUUUGAGCCAAGGUACUUAAAUCAUGGAAGAGAAGCUAAAUUAAAUGACAGUGGUCGUUUGGCAAUUACCACUUAGACGAUCGGCUUCUGCAAAUUAGAAUGGCACUUACAUAUUCAUUUUUUUUUUCAAGGAAAGAACAGAAUGGCAAUUACAUAGUGCAUGUUUGUCAAUUGCCAACAUGAUGUGGCUGUGCUGUAGCAAAAUAAAGGAAUUUUGUAUGAGCUUGGUGACGUAAGGCAUGGGCUAAAUUGAAGAUAAGAGUGAUGUGGUUAAGUCCCAGCCCUUUUUAAUGUGGUGGAAUGUAGUUACAUUUUUUUUCUUUCUA